AGGAAGCCGGCGGACGGAGCGUCUGGUGGGGAGGAAGCCGGCGGACGGAGCGUCUGGUGGGGAGGAGCGCCGCGGGCGCCGCCGGAGCUCAGGUGUGGAGCGGGAGUGAGGCCGAUUAUGCAGCUCAUCUCGCCGGCAGGCGGGGGCGGUUCUGGGCGACAGUUGGAUCAAGUAGGGUUGAGGAUGUGGCUCUGGAAUGGAGGGACCGAAGGGCCCAGAAGGGAUGGCGCUACAGAAGAAAGCCGGGCUGGAAAUGGACUCUAUUCUUUUUCCUCCGCAGCUUUAUAUUCCAGGUUUUUAUUCCACUCCGUAGAUAGUAAUAUUUACUUUGACCAUCAAAUGUCAUCAUAUAAAACUGAGAUUGGCUUUCCUGCGUGAAUACUCAGUAAAUCUACAGAAUAGUCAGUGAAAGAGCAGCCAGAGUGCAGGAGGCAACAAUCUGCGCAAAUGCGAGUAUAAAUAAAUAGCAAUAAAUAACGAAAACAUAAAAUAACAAGGUAAAGAGUCCUUAAAGAGAGAUAAUCGAUUGUCGGAACAUCUCAAUGAUGGGGUAAGUGAGUGUGGUUAACUGUUUUGUUCAGGAGCCUGAUGUUUGAGGGGUGGUGCAGGUCCUGAGGUGCCGGUACCUUCCUGAUGGCAGCGGUGAAAAGAGAACAUGGUUUGGAUGGUGGGGGUCCCUGAUGACACUGCUUUCUUGCGACAGCACUCAAUAUACAUGCGCUCAAUGGUGGGGAGUGUUUUACCUGUGAUGGACUGGGUCAUAUCCUCUAAUUUUGUAGGAUUUUCUGUUCAAGGACAUUUGUGUUCAGGUGUAAUAACUGUUCUUGAACCUAGUGUGAGUCAUGAGUCCUCGGCCUGACCUGCUGAAAUUCCUUCAGCAUUUUGUGUGUGCUUAUAUUACAAACACUCAUUACCUCAAGUGCUUAACAACUCUUAUUUUGAAAUCACUGCAGUGUUGCCCUGACAUGAGAGAAUCAGAUUGUAUUAUGGAGAUGCUGGAAUUCAGAGGAAUAGAUAAUCUGGAAGAACUGAGUUCCAAGAGGAUCUGCAUGGCGAUUAUACUGAGUAGUUGAAGUUUUUUGUCAAAAUCUGCUUUUACUCUGAAAUGCUGACAUCUUUUGCUUCCAUCCCCAAAGAUGUUGAGUUUCUGCUGCUGAUUGUAGGACAAUGUUCUCCAGUUCAAAUCACUGAUCAAACAGAAGAUCAGAAUGACUCCCAGAAAAGUAAUUCAGAACUAUCGCUGCUCCCGCUAGUAUCCCACUAAUAAUCAAAAGUGGUUUACCAUUGCUGCCUUCUGACAGCGUCUUUACAAGAGGGGUGACCCCAGCCAUUUUCAAUUCUCUUCAUAAAUUGACGUCAGUGGUUGGAUAACCAGGUCUUGUGAUGUGCACCAGCUGCUCAUGUGACCAUCCGCUGCCACGGCUUCAUGUGACCCUGGGGUGGGGGGCAGGUGGUCCAUCUUGCCCAAGGGUGGACUGAAGGAAAAUGGAGGGGCGGAGUGCAUUAGACCUCCUUUGGUAGAGAUGUAUCACCACCCUGCUACCUGCCACUGAGGACAUUUAUAUGGAGCACUGUAGGGGGAAAAAAUGGCAUCCUUCGCUUAUCAUCCAGGCUACUUGCGCUACUCCCAGCUGGUACAGAAGACUUGGGUCCCAUGCCAACAGGUUCAGAAAUCUGCAACCUUCAGGCUCUGAACUGCCAUGGAUAAUAUCAUCACUCUAUACUGAAGCUGCUAUUUACGGGCUCACUUUGAAGGACUGUUUACAACUCGUGUUCUCAGUAAUCUUCCUGUAAAUGCCUACAAGAAAAUGAACCUCAAAGAAGCAUACACAAGCGCCCACCUGGACUGUACUUUUCUCCCCAUAGAUGCUGCCUGACCUGCUGAGUUCCUCCAGCAUUUUGUUCUUUCGAUUUCUUGCAUCUGCAGAAUUUCUCAUUUGUUGUAACACACACACUUUGAUAAUACAUUUACUUUAAGCUAGUGCCCUGAAUGUAGUGUGUGAACAAAAUCAGUUAUUUAUACAAGUUAAAGAAUGAAGCUUACUAAAGUUAGAUUUAUUAAAUUGGGUUGUCAGUUGUGUUUUAAGUACAUGGAAAUCUGACCGGUCAUCUUCUAUGGCCAUUUAAGUGGCCUUCUGAAGUUGAUGUGCAUGGUGCAUCUUGAACAAGGAGCAGUGAGCGUGAACCAAUUAUGAAUAUAUCGUAAUGCUGGAAGAGCUCAGGAGAGGAGUGGCUUCCCCCAUCCUUUCCAACCUUGAUAAAGGAUCUUGGCCCAAAACAUCAACUGUUUAUUCCUUUCCAUAGAUGCACUGAGCUCUUCCAGCAUUUUGUGUUACUCUGGAUUUUCAGCAUGUUUAUUUAUUUGAGAUAGAGUGCAGAUUAGGUCCUUCAAUCCAUACUGCCCAGCAAUCCCCCACUUCAAUGCUAGUGCAAUCACAGGACAAUUUACAAUGACCAAUUUCUUCCAACCAGUAUAUCCCAGGGAAAAUGUACACGUUUGCAGGGAAAGCUUACAAACUCCUUGCAAACAGCAGCAGGAAAUGAAUCCUAGUCUCCUGUGCUGUUAAAGCAUUGUGCUAACCACUACACUACUGUGCUUGAAUGUAACUCUCUAUGCGAGGGUUGGUGGGUAAAUUUGCUCUUGUCACACAAGGCAGGCAGGCUCCAAAUGAUUAGCUGAGAGUAGUCAGAGCUACUGCUACACAACUCCAGCAGCUUGUGACCUGCCCUGCCUUUACAUGCUGUUGAUGCAGUUUGUACAUUACCCUUGUCAAAGUGUGGACUUCCCUGUACAUUUGAGGUUUGCUGGUAGAUUGAGAACUGGGCAUGAGAAUAGGUUACUGAUGCAUUUCACUGUAUAUUUUGAUGUAUACAUGACAAAUAAUGCUAAUCUUACCUUGGCGUGGAAUUGAUGGGAAUGCUUUGACAGCUGGCAUUGACUCACUGUUAUGUGACCUUGUCAUUAGAAGGAAUGGAAAUUUUAACAACUGUCCUAGUCUAUAUGAGAUGCUGUUCUUGUGCCAGGGUAGCCAGUAGGUUUAACCCUGAAGGCUGAGAGGUUCUCUGAAGCACAAGGAAUUGAGACUCUAGCUUCACCUCAAGCAGAGUUUCAACAAUGGUGUACAAGACAAUAAGAAAUAGGAGCAGAAUUGGGGCUUGGGCUCAAUGGGCUUAGGCGGAAGCGGGCGAGGCAAGGCAAGGUAGGUUUAGGUUUCAGUUUUUGCUGUUAUUUGAGGAAAGGGGAAGUAUGAGUGUGAGGGCAGCUUGUUCUCGGUGUCGGAUGUGGGAGGUCCUGGAGUCUCCUCGCCUUCUGGAAGUCCACAUCUGCGCCGAGCUGCAGCUCGAUGACCUUCAUCUGGUCAGGGAGAGUGAGGAUUUGAUAGAGGGGUUACAGACAGGUGGGUCACAGUUAGGAUGGGGAAGAGUCAGGUACUAGAGAAUACCCCAGUGGCUGUACCCGUUAAUAAGUACUCCUCCUGUUUGAAUACUGUUGGGGGGGGGGGGGGGGAGAGACAGCUUACCUGGGGGAAGCAACAGUGGCUGUGCCUCUGGCACAGAGUCCGGCCCUGUAGCUCAGAAGAGUAGGGAAAGGAAGAGGAAGGCAUUAGUAACAGGGGACUCGAUAGUUGGGGGGCAGACAGGCGAUUCUAUGGACGCGAUCAGGAUACCCAGAUGGUAGUUUGCCUCCCUGGUGCCAGGAUCUGGGGUGUUUCUGAUCGCAUCCAAGAUAUCCUGAAGUGGGAGGGUGAGGAGCCAGAGGUCGUGGUACAUAUAGGUACCAAUGAUAUAGGUAGGAAAAGGGAAGAGGUCCUGAAAGGAGAAUAUAGGGAGUUAGGAAGGCAGUUGAGAAGUACCACAAAGGUGGUAAUCUCAGGAUUACUGCCUGUGCCACGUGACAGAGUAGGAAUGGAAUGAGGUGGAGGAUAAAUGUGUGGCUGAGGGAUUGGAGCAGGGGCAGGAAUUCAGAUUUCUGGAUCAUUGGGACCUCUUUUGGGGCAGGACUGGUUACACUUGACUCCUAGGGGGACCAAUAUCCUAGCCGGGAGAGGUGGAGAGUUUCUUAAAUGCAUAUAUUUUAAAGCUAGGAGCAUUGUAAGAAAGGUGGAUGAGCUUAGAGCAUGGAUUGAUACCUGGAAAUAUUAUGUAGCUAUUAGUGAAACAUGGCUGCAGGAGGGAUGUGCCUGGCUUUUGUUGCUUCAGGUGUGAUAGAAACGGAGGGGCAAGUGGAGGAGGUGUUGCAUUGCUUGUCCGAGAAAAUAUUACCACGGUGCUUUGGCAGGAUAGAUUAGAGGGCUCAUCUAGGGAGACUAUUGGGUGGAUUUGAGGAAUGGGAAAGGUGUAGUAACACUUAUAGGGGUGUAUUAUAGACUAACUAAUGGGGAGUGAGAAUUGAAGGAGCAAAUUUGUAAGGAGAUGGCAGAUAUUUGUAGUAAGCACAAGGUUGUGAUUGUGGGAGAUUUUAACUUUCCACACAUAAACUGGGAAGCCCAUUCUGUGAAAGGGCUGGAUGGUUUGGAGUUUGUAAAAUGUGUGCAGGAUAGUUUUUUGCAGUAAUACAUAGAGGUACCGACUGAGAAGGGGCAGUGUUGGAUCUCCUGGUAGGGAAUGAGAUAGGUCAGGUGACGGAGGUAUGUGUUGGGGAGCACUUCGGGUCCAGUGAUCACAGUGCCAUUAGUUUCAAUAUAAUCAUGGAGAAGGAUAGGACGACCCAGGGUUGAGAUUUUUGAUUAGAGAAAGGCUACUUUGAGGAGAUGCGAAAGGAUUUAGAAGGACGGUAUUGGGACAAUUUGUUUUAUGGGAAGGAUGUAAUAAGGAAAUAGAGAUCAUUUAAAGGUGAAAUUUUGAGGGUACAGAAUCUUUAUGUUCCUGUUAGGAUGAAAGGAAAGGUUAAAAGUUUGAGAGAGCCAUGGUUUUCAAGGGAUAUUGGAAACUUGGUUCAGAAAAAGAGGGAGAUCUACAAUAAAUAUAGGCAGCAUGGAGUAAAUGAGGUGCUCGAGGAAUAUAAUUAAUGUAAAAAGAAUCUUAAGAAAUUAGUAAAGCUAAAAGAAGAUACAAGGUUGCUUUGGCAAGUAAGGUGAAAAUAAAUCUAAAGGGUUUCUACAGUUAUAUUAAUAGCAAAAGGAUAGUGAGGGAUAAAAUUGGUCCCUUAGAGAAUCAGAGUGGACAACUAUGUGUGGAGCCAAAAGAGAUGGGGGAGAUUUUGAACAAUUUCUUUGGUAUUCACUAAGGAGAAGGAUAUUGAAUUGUGUAAGGUAAGGGAAACAAGUAGGGAAGUUAUGGAAACUAUGACAAUUAGAGGAGGAAGUACUAGCGCUUUUAAGGAAUAUAAAAGUGGAUAAAUCUCUGGGUCCUGACAGGAUAUUCCCUAGGACCUUGAGGGAAGUUGGUGUAGAAAUAGCAGGGGCUCUGACAGAAAAAUUUCAAAUGUCAUUAGAAAUGGGGAUGGUGCUGGAGGAUUGGCGUAUUACUCAUGUGGUUCCAUUGUUUAAAAAGGGUUCUAAGAGUAAACCUAGCAAUAGGCCUGUCAGUGUGAUGUCAGUGGUGGGUAAAUUAAUGGAGAGUAUUCUUAGAGAUGGUAUAUCUGGAUAGACAGGGUCUGAUCAGGAAUAGCCAGCAUGGAUUUGUGCAUGGAAGGUCAUUUUUGACAAAUCUAUUGAAUUUUAUGAAGAGGUUAUGAGGAAAGUUGAUGAGGGUAAAGCAGUGGAUGUUGUCCAUAUGGACUUCAGUAAGGCCUUUGACAAGGUUCUGCACGGAAGGUUAGUUAGGAAGGUAUUAAUAUUGAAAUAGUAAAAUGGAUUCAACAGUGGCUGGAUGGGAGAUGCCAGAGAGUAGUGGUGGAUAACUGUUUGUCAGGUUGGAGGCCGGUGACUAGUGGUGUGCCUCAGGGAUCUGUACUGGGUCCAAUGUUGUCUGUCAUAUACAUUAAUGAUCUGGAUGAUGGGGUGGUAAAUUGGAUUAGUAAGUAUGCAGAUGAUACUAAGGUAGGAGGCGUUGUGGAUAAUGAAGUAGGUUUUCAAAGCUUGCAGAGAGAUUUAGGCCAGUUAGAAGAGUGGGCUGAAUGAUGGCAGAUGGAGUUUAAUGCUGAUAAGUGUGAGGUGCUACAUUUUGGUAAGAAUAAUCCAAAUAGGACAUACAUGGUAAAUGGUAGGGCAUUGAAGAAUGCAGUAGAACAGAGUGAUCUAGGAAUAAUGGUGCAUAGUUCCCUGAGGGUGGAAUCUCAUGUGGAUAGAGUGGUGAAGAAAGCUUUUGGUAUGCUGGCCUUUAUAAAUCAGAGCAUUGAGUAUAGGAGUUGGGAUGUAAUAUUAAAAUUGUACAAGGCAUUGGUAAGGCCGAAUUUGGAGUAUUGUGUACAGUUCUGGUCACCAAAUUAUAGGAAAGAUAUCAACAAACUAGAGAGAGUACAGAGAAGAUUUACUAGAAUGUUACCUGGGUUUCAGCACCUAAGUUACAGGGAAAGGUUGAACAAGUUAGGUCCUUAUUCUUUGGAGUGCAGAAGGUUGAGGGGGGACUUGAUUGAGGUACUUAAAAUAAUGAGGGGGAUAGGUCGAGUUGACGUGGAUAGGCUUUUUCCAUUGAGAGUAGGGGAGAUUCAAACAAGAAGACAUGAGUUGAGAGUUGGGGGCAAAAGUUUAAGGGUAACAUGAGGGGGAAUUUCUUUACUCAGAGUGGUAGCUGUGUGGAAUGAGCUUCCAGUAGAAGUGGUAGAGGUAUUGUCAUUUAAAGUAAAAUUGGAUAGGUAUAUGGACAAGAAAGGAAUGGAGGGUUAUGGGCUGAGUGCAGUUCGGUGGGACUAGGUGAACGUAAGCGUCGGCACGGACUAGAAGGGCCGAGAUGGCCUGUUCCGUGCUGUAAUUGUUCUAUGGUUAUGUAGGGUAACUCAUCACAGCUGAUCCAUUUUCCCACUCAGUCUCAAUUUACUCCCUUCCCCCACUAUCCCUUCAUGUCCUACCCAAUCAAGAAUUUAUCAACCUCUGCCUUAAAUAUAUACAAAGCCUUGGCCUUCACAGUUGCCUUUGGCAACAAAUUCCACAGACAUUUUGGAGACUGCAUGAUCCAGGACUUGAGUGAAUUUAUUGUAACUGAAUGGAGCAGUUCCAUGCUUUUGGAGAAGGAAAUACAGUUGCUACUUUUGGUCUUAGAUUAUAAAGGGCAAUAAGCCAGUGAUCUUACUUAAUAUGCUGGAAUGUGUGGCAGACAAGAAUGGGUACUGUUGUCUACUAUCUGGCAGGGAAGCUUUGUUGACUUACUAAGGUCAAUUUCCAGAUGAGGGAGAGGAAGGGUAAGUUGCCCUGCACCCAAGUAAUUUUACCCCAGCAAGCAGCAGAGCAGGGAAAAAACUCAAUGAGUAAACAUGGGGUUGACAAAUGAAUUAGUAUGAUUAAUAGUGGAUUAUCACAAUCUGUUCCUCCAAGAGUACCACAACCUUGUCAUAAGGUUUGGAGGCUUGUGUGCUUCAAUGACCUGGAGAGGAGCUAUGUUGACUGGAGUAAGGGUUUUAUGAUUUGAGUCUUGGUGGGGACACCCAUGCCAAAUAGCAGAAGGGCUAAGACUGGCUUGGGUUCAGUAAAACAAAAUAGUUAUGGAAACAGCAAUGAAGAAUUGAUCUACAUCUAAGUGCCAUAGUAUUUCUGAGUCUCCAACUGGGUUAUGCAUGACUGAAGACCAAGAGGAAGCUACUGGCA